AAUCCGGUGGCCUAGUGGUUAGAGCGUCUGCAUUGGAUGCGAGAGGUCGUGGGUUCGAUUCCCAGUCGAGUCA